UACGUAGGGCGCAAGCGUUGUCCGGAAUUAUUGGGCGUAAAGAGCUCGUAGGCGGUUUGUCGCGUCUGUCGUGAAAGCUUGGGGCUUAACCCCAAGUCUGCGGUGGAUACGGGCAGACUGGAGUACUGCAGGGGAGACUGGAAUUCCUGGUGUAGCGGUGGAAUGCGCAGAUAUCAGGAGGAACACCGGUGGCGAAGGCGGGUCUCUGGGCAGUAACUGACGCUCAUACACGACAGCAUGGGGAGCGAACGGG
rnacentral:rRNA from 1 species